AACGAACGCUGGCGGCAGGCUUAACACAUGCAAGUCGAGCGCCCCGCAAGGGGAGCGGCAGACGGGUGAGUAACGCGUGGGAAUCUACCGUGCCCUACGGAAUAGCUCCGGGAAACUAGAAUUAAUACCGUAUACGCCCUACGGGGGAAAGAUUUAUCAGGGUAUGAUGAGCCCGCGUUGGAUUAGCUAGUUGGUGGGGUAAAGGCCUACCAAGGCGACGAUCCAUAGCUGGUCUGAGAGGAUGAUCAGCCACAUUGGGACUGAGACACGGCCCAAACUCCUACGGGAGGCAGCAGUGGGGAAUAUUGGACAAUGGGCGCAAGCCUGAUCCAGCCAUGCCGCGUGAGUGAUGAAGGUCUUAGGAUUGUAAAGCUCUUUCACCGGUGAAGAUAAUGACGGUAACCGGAGAAGAAGCCCCGGCUAACUUCGUGCCAGCCGCCGCGGUAA
rnacentral:rRNA from 1 species